rnacentral:snRNA from 1 species
GUUACGUACACUGUUCCGGUUC